rnacentral:rRNA from 1 species
UUGCUCUUCAACGAGGAAUGCCUAGUAAGCGCAUGACAUCAGCAUGCGUUGAUUACAUCCCUGCCCUUUGUACACACCGCCCGUCGCUACUACCGAUUGAAUGGCUCAGUGAGGCCUCCGGACUGGCUCGAAGAGGUUGGCAACGACCACUUCGAGCCGGAAAGCUGGUCAAACUCGGUCAUUUAGAGGAAGUAAGAGUCGUAACAAGGUUUCCGUAGGUGAACCUGCGGAAGGAUCAUUACCUAGAGUUUGUGGACUUCGGUCCGCUACCUCUUACCCAUGUCUUUUGAGUACCUUCGUUUCCUCGGCGGGUCCGCCCGCCGGUUGGACAACAUUCAAACCCUUUGCAGUUGCAAUCAGCGUCUGAAAAAACUUAAUAGUUACAACUUUCAACAACGGAUCUCUUGGUUCUGGCAUCGAUGAAGAACGCAGCGAAAUGCGAUAAGUAGUGUGAAUUGCAGAAUUCAGUGAAUCAUCGAAUCUUUGAACGCACAUUGCGCCCCUUGGUAUUCCGAGGGGCAUGCCUGUUCGAGCGUCAUUACACCACUCAAGCUAUGCUUGGUAUUGGGCAACGCGGUCCGCCGCGUGCCUCAAAUCGUCCGGCUGGGUCUUCUGUCCCCUAAGCGUUGUGGAAACUAUUCGCUAAAGGGUGUUCGGGAGGCUACGCCGUAAAACAACCCCAUUUCUAAGGUUGACCUCGGAUCAGGUAGGGAUACCCGCUGAACUUAAGCAUAUCAAUAAGCGGAGGA